AGCAGCCGCGGUAAUUCCAGCUCCAAUAGCGUAUAUUAAAGUUGUUGCAGUUAAAAAGCUCGUAGUUGAAUUUCGGGAUCAAUACGUUGGUCGUGCUUUCGGGUACGUACUGGCGUCAUUGGUUUCUCUCUUCUGACGAACCAUGAUGUCAUUAGUUUGGUGUUAUGGGGAGUUAGGACUGUUACUUUGAAAAAAUUAGAGUGUUUAAAGCAGGCUCGCGCUUGAACACAUUAGCAUGGAAUAAUGAAAUAGGAUGUUUGAUCUUAUUUUGUUGGUUUCUAGGAUCGACAUAAUGAUUAAUAGGGAUAGUUGGGGGCAUUAGUAUUCAAUUGUCAGAGGUGAAAUUCUUGGAUUUAUUGAAGACUAACUACUGCGAAAGCAUUUGCCAAGGAUGUUUUCAUUAAUCAAGAACGAAAGUUAGGGGAUCGAAGACGAUCAGAUACCGUCGUAGUCUUAACCAUAAACUAUGCCGACUAGGGAUCGGAUGAUGUUAAUUUUUUAAUGACUCAUUCGGCGCCUU
rnacentral:rRNA from 1 species